rnacentral:tRNA from 2 species
CCUUCGAUAGCUCAGUUGGUAGAGCGGAGGACUGUAGAUCCUUAGGUCGCUGGUUCGAAUCCGCCUCGAAGGA